rnacentral:snRNA from 1 species
CCUCCCGGGAAGUCCUCGU